AACAUAAGCUCCAGGGCCUGCUUUGGCUAUGAUGUCAAAGAGAUUUAGCUCGAUAGCUGUGCGAAGGACCAGAGGAAAGACACGAGAGCUAGAGAAUAUCAUGGCAUCAAGACAUGCUUCCUCUUCUUGAUAACUUUCUAUGGAGCCCAUACUUGUGGCUAAGGCUCUGUUUAUUUCGUUCCUGGUUCUGAUGCUGUGGCUUGUUAAUCUACAUCUAUACUAAUAUAUAAAAACGGAUGGCACUUGAUACUGUUUUUUAUCAUAAUGCCUUCGCAUUGAAAGUGUUUUCUCCAACGUCCCUUCAAAU
rnacentral:misc_RNA from 1 species